UGCAGAGCCAGGAAGCUCCUUGCAGCGGUGAAUGUGGUGGCGGUGCUGGCCGGGCACCGUGGCUGUGCCUGGCAGGCCUGCUGAGGGCACAGGGAUUCAUCGCGCUUGGCUCAGAAGCUUCGUUUUUCUGAGACAGCUCCCAGCUUCACUCAAACGUGGUUACCUACAGAUGCAAACUGGAAACGAUGCACUGUUUGUUCCCUUGCAAUCUCUACGGUGAGCAGGCAGGAGCCCCAGCCAGAGUCCUGUGGUCACACACCCACUGGUGGUCAGGCGAUUACUUUAAAACAUGAAAGAAAUUGCACCUUUUCCUUAAGGGCAAGAUGGUGCUGUGGGCUUUCCUCUCUCCUGAUGAGAUGAUGCAAAUGGACUCCAUAGAGAAACGCUGCCCGUGUAACAAUGCAGUUACGCAACCCGGUGCAUGACACAUGAAUUGCAGCGCACCUGAGAUCCUGAUGAAAUCCUGGGAGCCUGGAGCUGUCAAACAUGGUUUUAAAAAAUAAAGGGAAUACACCCAGCCCACACCCUGACUUUACAACCUUUAAUUAAUUAGAGGAAAGAAAGAGAGAUUUGUCUGGUUUCAUGACUUCAACUUUCCACCUGGAAUAUGAAGCUCCUGCUCUUCCCACCUCCUUUUCUUCUCUCUCUCUCUCUCAGGUUUUUAAAUUUCUAUUUCCAGUUCUGCCACCAAAAAUAGAUUGCAAAUAUAUUCUGCAUAAUUCCGAGGCUACACUAUAAAUGUUGGAGUGCUACUACUUGUAUAAUAGUCACAAAUGAACGCACGAGUGGGCAC
rnacentral:lncRNA from 1 species